rfam:Gorilla gorilla gorilla genomic chromosome, chr8, whole genome shotgun sequence
GGAUGUGAGGGUGAUCUAGCUGCAACAUCUGUUACCCCAUUAAUCGCCAGGGUUGAUUCGGCUGAUCUAGCUGGCUAAGCAGGUAUCCCCUUCCUCCCUCACUGCUCCAUGUGCAUCCCUCCCAAAUACUGCACGCUCGAUGGAAGAGGACGACUAUCCCCAAUAGAGGAGGACUGGUCUUCCGUCAAGGGUAUAGGAGUAGCUGCGCUUCCCUGCUGGAACCCCCAAACAAGCUCUUAAAGAGGAAUGAAGACCAAUCUUCAAAAACUCCUCCAAAAAAAUACGAGAAGAGGGAACACUUCACAACUUAUUCUUU